rnacentral:lncRNA from 1 species
UAGAAUUGUACAAUUAUACAGACUCUUAAAUAUACACAGUCUACGAUCGUAGAGUUAAGUCACUCUAUAAUAGGGUAAAAUACAAAUGUGACUACUGAACUUUAGUGAUUUUUGGGUUUUGAGUCCUUUUUUUUUGGUCAACGCAUUUUGAGCCCUUUUCUAUUUAAAAAUUUGGACUUCAAGCCCCUGUUGCCAGAUAUGCGUUGACUUGCUGACGUGGUGCCUACGUGGCAUAUUUGACGUGGAUAUUUUUAUUUUUAUUUUACAUGUGGCAUAUAUGACGUGGCAAAUUUUGGGAUUGAACUAAAAAAUUUGUUGUUGUUAAUAUUCGAUCUCCAGACCUCCCACUCAAAGCUUCAAAUCAGUUACCACUCGAGCACCACUGGUUAGUUGAUUUUUAUUCGCAAGGAUUAUUAUGUAUAACAUUCAAUCCAAUUUUCCCCAAAUUAAAAUAAAACCCAUUCACACUCAAAUAAGUCUCCUUCUCUCGAUAAGUCUCCUUCUCUCAGUUCGUUCUUUCGAUCUUCAUUACCUUGUCUCUCUCUAUCUCGCUCGCUCGCUCUCGUAUUUUGCAGCCUUUCAUCUCAAAAAUUUGUGAGUAAUGAAAAGGGGAAAGCAACUUAAAGAAAAUAGCUACCAAAAGUUUGGGAACAGUUCAAUAUCCACUGAAUUCAGUGGGAUUUCAUCACCUAGGUAUUGUGGUUGUGGGAUACGAGCAAGAAUUUGUACAUCGUCAAAGGGCAACAAUGUAGGGAGGAAGUUUUAUGGUUGUUCAAAUUAUGGUGUAAGUACUUGUAUUUACUCUGAUAUAAAAUUGAAGAAUUUUUACAUACAAUCCUUGUGUUUUUUUAAUUUAAUUUUCUACAGAUGGAAACAUUUUGUGGCUUUUUUCAAUGGAUUGACUCCAUCCACAUGUUAGAAGAUGCUGAGAAUUCUUCGGGUCUAUUAAAUUUGAGGAGCGUUGAAAUUGACCUACAGAUGAUGAAGGAG